rnacentral:lncRNA from 1 species
GAAAAUCUGAAUACAGAUCAGACAGAGAGAGCAAACAAUGUUGUCUCAGUCAAGAUUUGUGGUUCACACAAGGCAGAGUGUUUGUAGAAUAUUGUCAAGAAUUCAGGAGUAGGUUUUAGACACCUACUGCUACAAUUCAGAAUGUCUGAACUGUCUCCCAAUUCUCUAUUUUCCAGCAAUAGAACAUAGGAAUGCAGACCUGGAGGAAGCCACAAAAAUGACAAAGUCCCCCUGGAAUCACAGCAACUAGACAAUCAUGGAGAUAGAGUUUCUAUGAGCCAGAAGAAUCCAGCCAUCACUGCAAAUGUGUGUACUAACACUGAUAGCAUUGUCCUUUCCUGUCUACUUCUCUCCUGUCCUGGAGUUGAUUUGGACACAAGUGACAUCAGUUGCUCCCGGAAAGAUUGCUGCCAAGAUCCCUCCUGGGCACACUGCUUCCUUCUCCCCUAAUACUCAUCACAAAAUCAGGACCCUUGAACUCUGCUCUGCAUUCUCACUCCCACCUCUCAGACACCGACAGUACCAUGUAAGAUCAGGUCCCACUGCAAGGAGCGUGGAGCCUGCUCCAUUUCUGAUCAAGACAAGUGGUCCAGUGGAACCAGGCCACCUCCACACACACAGCUCUGCACACUUACAUCUGCAUUCACUGUGCAUCAGGAAAACCAGCCUGUGAAUGCUUCUCACCGGGCUUAGUUCCACCUUCCUGUUUUUUCUCUGAAUGCCUCGCUCCUAAAUUUGGUAGAGGUAUUCCACCUUCAGACAGGGCUGAGCUGAAAGCUUUGUUUUCUGCCAAGAAGCUUCAGAGGACAACACUUAUCAAAGCAGUUUGCAUGAGUGACACAGCUUCUGAAGGGAGAGAAACACUUCAGGCUGAAAAGUUAUUAGGCAUUAAAAACACAUACUGAAGAAAAGCAUGCUGCCUUGACAAUGGGAGAAUGGGUGGGGAUAGGUCUGGGCCCCCUGACAGAGACCUGUAGGUCUUCUGAUAUCCCACCUCCCCCUCUUGCUCUUUGUCUAUGUAGCUCUCAGGGCUGGUCUCCAGAGAAGUGAGGAUACUUCGUCUUGGUUAUUGCCCCAGAACAUACAGUAAUAUUAUAUAUGUGUGAAUGAGUGUGUAUACAUAUACAUGCGUGUGAUUGUGUACAUAUACACAUCUUAUGAAGCCAAAAGGGAACAUAUGCAGAAUGCCUCCGGGAGCAUGUGGGAAGGGCAGAGUUCCAAGCCGGUUAUUAAUCCACUUGCAG